rnacentral:rRNA from 1 species
GGACCCGCACAAGUAGUGGAGCAUGUGGUUUAAUUCGAAGAUACGCGCAGAACCUUACCAACACUUGACAUGUUCGUCGCGACUUUAAGAGAUUAAAGUUUUCGGUUCGGCCGGACGAAACACAGGUGCUGCAUGGCUGUCGUCAGCUCGUGUCGUGAGAUGUUGGGUUAAGUCCCGCAACGAGCGCAACCCUCACUUUUAGUUGCCAUCAUUAAGUUGGGCACUCUGAAAGAACUGCCAGUGAUAAGCUGGAGGAAGGUGGGGAUGACGUCAAGUCCUCAUGGCCCUUACGUGUUGGGCUACACACGUGCUACAAUGGUAUCUACAACAGGAAGCAAGACUGCGAGGUCAAGCAAAUCCUCAAAAGAUACCUCAGUUCGGAUUGCACUCUGCAACUCGAGUGCAUGAAGCUGGAAUCGCUAGUAAUCG